UUUCUUUUUGUUGUCUAAAACACAAAAAUCGCGAAACAGUCAGCUCACAAAGUUGCAGGUGAAGGUGCUGCCCACCCAUGAUACCAGCAAGGUGCGUGCAAGUGGAUCCGGCCUUAACACCACUGGAGCGCCCACCUCUCUGCCAGUGAAGGUCACCAUUGAUGCCAAAGAUGCAGGACCCAGAGGGGAAGCCCAAGAAGCAGAUAUCUGUGACAGCCAUGAUGGGACCUACCUGGUGUUUUAUGUGC